rnacentral:lncRNA from 1 species
UGGUAAGUUUGGCAAGAAGCUGCCCAUACUGUGUGGCUUUGUGAAGAGGAGAAAGAACUGGAAGGGCUGGGAAGGGCUCAUUACAGAGGUGUUGAGAGAGCUGCCCCCAAAAAGUGUGAACAAAGUUUCUUUCAUCCAUAAAUAUAUGUUGAGCUCCAACCAUGUGCUGAGCACUGGACUAGGGGCUUGCGGGGAUUCAUCAAUGAGCAGAAUGAAUAUCCCCACACUUAAAAAACUGACAUGCUACAGGGGAUGACGGGCAUGCGGUGGGGCACAAUAUGCAAGUUGCAAGGGUGAGGAGGGAUCAUCAAGGAUGAGAUAACUGAGUUAACAAAAACACAGAAGGAGAACUUACAGGGGUUAUGAGGCUGUGGAAAAUAGGCUUCAUAUCUGGUUUUGCUUCAGAUGACUUGGUAGUGGCUGCCUGGAAUCUGUGUUGAGGAGGAUUCUGAGAUUUCCUUUUGGCUCUGGUGGAAGAGUGCCAGGAUUGAUUACUGAUGUCCACAAUGGGUGUGGGAGGGGAUAAUUGGAUGAGUGUUAGAUAUUCACCAUUCCCAGAGAGGUUCUGUGUGACAUUCCAAUCUCUGCUCUUCCAGUCUUCUGAGAAUGGUACGAAGCUUAAUAAGCGAGUAUUUAAGUCCAGCAUUUGUGUGUACAUGAAAAAUUAUUUGGAUAUUCUCAGAGAAAGCUCUGCUAUGUAAAUGCCAGUGUUAAUGGUAUACUUCUCCAAUCUUUUACCUUCUCUUUAUUGAGACCAUGAGCAGGCAAGUAACUCAGCUAUGUUUUAUAGAACCUGUUUCUGUUUGUGAUUCCACUUCUUUGGCUCCCUGCACUCCAAACUCAAAAUGAGUGUCAGCCUCUUAGAGCCUCAGAAUUUUUAGUUGCUCAUAUGCUACACUUGUCUUCUGUUUGGGGUCAUAUAAUACAUCCCUCCAUGGCAUUCAGAGGAAGUGAUCUACCUUUUUCCUUUAAGUCUCCUGAAGUAACUAUGCAACCUUCCUUGAUAACUCUGUAAGAGAUACAGUGUAUUGUAGUUCCAGAAUAUCUCGUACCAGGCUGACUCUGGCUUUCUGGCUGAGCCUUAAAGGUAAAUGGGGGUUUGGGAGAAACCCUUUUUCUUAGCCCUUGAUAUGUUAAAUAAAGAAAUUCAGAAAAUCCUAUAUUGCUUAUAAGCAAUUGUCUUGGUGCAAAAUUUUGUAUGUCAAAAAUAAAAUGUUAAUUUUUUCCUGUUAGAUUGAACCAUAUGAAAUUGCUAUUUUUUCCACCUUCAACCAUGUCCCCGCAAAUGACGUAAACUCAUCCUUUUUUUAUGGCUGCAUAGUAUUCCACGGCAUAUAUGUGCCACAUUUUCUUUAUCCAGUCUAUUAUUGAUGGACAUUUGGGUUGGUUCCAAGUCUUUGCUAUUGUGGAAACCAUCAUUCUCAACAAACUAUCACAAGAACAGAAAACCAAACACCGCAUGUUCUCACUCAUAAGUGGGAGUUGAACAAUGAGAACACAUGGACACAGGGAGGGGAACAUCACACACCGGGGCCUGUCGGGGGUUGGGGGGGCUAAAAGAGGGACAGCAUUAGCAGAAAUACCUAAUGUAGAUGACGGGUUGAUGGGUGCAGCAAACCACCAUGGCACGUGUAUACCUAUGUAACAAACCUGCAUGUUCUGCACAUGUACCCCAGAACUUAAAGUAUAAUAAUAAUAAAAAAAGAAAUUGCUAUUUUUAUAGGUCAAAAAGUUUUAGUGUUGGCAAUUUUCUCUGGUUCAACUUAAUAGAUGUAUACUUUCUUUAACAAUCCUACACUUGAGAAUUUGGGCUUUAGGCUGUUUAAGGAGAAUGCCUUGUACUUUGAAAGGCAAAAAAGAAAUGGACAUUAAUGUUUUGCUGAAAUAUGUCUUUUUGUCUUCAAAACUUGCUCUUCCUGGUCCCUUCUUAAUGACAGUAAGAACAGCUGCUCAUAGGCCUCUCUGCUCAAACUUGAAGAGUGCAAUUGAACACAGCUCAACUGUGCUUCUAUAGAUAACAUGAAGCCAGAAGGCUGCUGGUUCUCUGUUGUAUUCACUGGUUAGAUGGAAAAAGUAAGUAUUUAAUGAGAAACUCCUGAGAUGUUUGAAAUGAUAGCUACAUCUCUAUUUCUUUCCCCAAUGACAGAGGGAAAUCUGGUUUCUGGAUUAACUACUGAA